GGUGGGGAUGACGUCAAGUCCAUCAUGGCCCUUACGGCCAGGGCUACACACGUGCUACAAUGGUCGGUACAAAGGGUUGCCAAGCCGCGAGGUGGAGACUAAUCCCAUAAAACCGAUCGUAGUCCGGAUCGCAGUCUGCAACUCGACUGCGUGAAGUCGGAAUCGCUAGUAAUCGUGAAUCAGAAUGUCACGGUGAAUACCGGUUCCCGGGCCUU
rnacentral:rRNA from 1 species